GUCGUCAGAGCUGGAUCAGUGUACACGAACUAGCACAGCUCAGCUGAAGUCAAAAGCGGGAUGCUACUGCAAACAGGCAUCUGACUUCAUCUACAAAGCCAGCAAGUUGGUCCUUUCUAUUCGCACAAUCCGAAUGGCAUAUGCAUAAGAAACGAACUGCAGAUUAGUCUGUCUGCUUUGAGAACAGGAGCACAGACCACAUUAGGCCUGUGCAGUCCUCAUGAUGGACCCACGGAUGGAUCAGAUGAUCAGCAGGAGCGAAGAAUCAGACAAGCUCAUACUUCUGCAAAGGAAUUUACUGUAUAUCUCAGUGAUGCAGACUGCACAGUGUUUAACCUUCCCAGCCUGAGUUUAAAUGGGGUUGUGCAUGCACGUGUGUUAAAGCAUUGCUGGGCUAUGGAUAAUUUCUACUUUGCCAACUAACCUCAUAAGUACAAGGAAAAUCUUGCAUGGAAAGGACUGCAGAGUCGGUAUACAAAGGACAACACAAGCCAUAAUGCAUAGAAAUUUGGUAAAUGAACAGUUGAAAAGGUUCGCAUAAUGAAAUAAACCCUGCCAUUCGUCUAGCACGUUAGACAAGAAGGCCAAGAGUUUGAAUAUAUGGUCUAUUGGCUUGAUUGCUGUUGCGGGAUAUAAGAACACAGGAUCAUAUACCCAGCUCUCAAGAGACAAAAUUGAGUGCAUCACUCCUCUGCUUUCUCUUGCCUACUUUUUCUACACCAUCAGAGGCCUCUUAGGAUGCAGACUGCGGCCAGACAGGACACAUGAAGGACACAUGGAGAUAUGUCCAUUUUGGGGCCUCUAGGUGACUACUGUCAUGCAACUAAUUAUUAAUACUAUGAAUAAAGUUACAAACUCAAGCAGCAAGCUGAAACGGGAAGUGGUCCAAUCCUGCAUUUACGCCCUCACACUGCUGCAGAUCUGCUGGGUGAUGCCGUGCUCAUUGCUUGUCCAGAUGCCUCAGUUUCCACAUCUGUAACGAGGAGAUAAGUAUACCAACUGGCAUGCCUUAAAUACUUGGAGAU